rnacentral:rRNA from 1 species
UACGGAGGGUGCGAGCGUUAUCCGGAAUUACUGGGUUUAAAGGGUGCGUAGGCGGCCAAGUAAGUCAGGAGUGAAAGUUUGCGGCUCAACCGUAAAAUUGCUUUUGAUACUGCUUAGCUGGAAUCAGGAUGAGGUCAGCGGAAUGUGGCAUGUAGCGGUGAAAUGCAUAGAUAUGCCAUAGAACACCAAUUGCGAAGGCAGCUGGCUAGACCUGGAUUGACGCUGAGGCACGAAAGCGUGGGGAGCGAACAGG